AGAGAAGAGAGACGAGUAAAGCCAUAAGCAGGGGGAAGAGAGAGAGAGAGAGAGUUCUGGGUAAAAAAUUAAAAUUUAUAAUCGUUAAAAAAUCUGGAGAACAGAGAAAGAGGAAACUCUAGAGAGAGGGCAAAGGGGAGAAUUUUGGGAGAAAAUUUAAAUUUAUUCGUUAGAGAAUCUUUAAAAUAAACAUACAUUUUUAAUCAAUUAUCUUUUCAACUAUUCUCUUACCUUCAUCAGCUUCACCUGUAUUUUCCCACAAUUGAUGAAUCCAAAUCUCAAAAUUUCAAUAAUCGAAUUCAUUUAGCCACAAUUUCAUGAAUUCACCCAUAAAAUAUUAUCACGAUUGAUUGUAACCUAAGUCUUUAAUUUAGAUUAGUUUCUGGUCAAAUAAAUUUUUUGAUAAUAAUUGUGAUAACAGGUCAUAAUCAAAUAACAUGUCACAUUCAACAAAUUAUUGGUCACAGUCAAUCCAAGAUAACGCAGACUUUUGUCACACAAGGUCACAAUCAACAUAUAAAUGGUCACAAACUUUAUGUAAUCAGGUUUGUCACAAACAAUCAUUUUUAAAAUAUGUCUCAUUACACGUCAUUGUCAAUACAAACUUGAUCACGUACAGUCACAGUAAAAACAGACCUGGUCACAAUAGAUUACAGUUAACACAAACUUGAUCACAAAUAAUUAAAUAAUUGAUCAGAAUUUAUUUAUCAAUCCCGAAGACACAAAUUAUAGGUCACAAUUACAAAUUUAAUUACAAAUCACACAUUUUAGGUCACAAAAUUGGAAUUAUAAAUAGAAUUGGUUGAUGUUAAAGUAGCUCUCGUUCAUUUUCUUUCUUUCCUUUUUUAGGAUAAGAGAAUAAUGGGAUGAAAAAAAUUGUCAUUCCACACCAGUUUGUCUUCAAAGUGACUGUCUGUGACCAGUUCAGUCUAAUUCGAAUGUAUGUAAUCAGGCCACUGUUAAUUUGGUCAGUCACAAGUAAGACAGAUCUAGUCACGAAUAAUCAUAAUAAAGAUAGACUUAGUCACAAUCAAUCACAAUUAAUACGGACAGACUUCGCACAUCCAAUCACUAUUCCAACUAUGUCAGGAAAAGGAUCCUUUCUAUAUAUAUAUAAUAAUAGAAAGUCUGGAUAUUUAUCCAAUUUAAAUAGAAAAUAAAAACGAAGGAGGCUCGGCCUUCCUUUAAAGUAAAAUAACUAAAGUAAUGAGAUUGAAAAAGGAACGAGUCAUCAAAAGUUGAAUGAUUCGAUCAAUUGGUAUGAAUUUUUGAAAAGACAAUUAUAUACAUAAAAAGAGAUAGACUAGUGCAUGAAACAGAAUACGCACGACAAACAAGAACUUAUUGAAUCCAUCGUUUGGGCUCAUAAUAAAUUAAAAGUUGCUCCUGCUACUCAGCCGAGAGCCUUGAGCAUUGUACAAGGACGUGCUGUAGGACGCUCUAGUCCACUCAGCCAUCUCUUCACCACCAUUUUGCAUUUCUUGACAAAGUAAACGGUGGCCAGGCAUCUAUGACCUCCUCCUCCAUGGUUCACUCAUCCAUACACAAAUUAGUAAUUUAAUUUUUCUGUGGCGUAAAUUCAGAAAAGUUUCAUUUAUGUGAUUAUAUAUCAGAAUAAAUUGAAAAUUGGUCUUAUUCCAAUUUCCAAUAGAUUUAACAUAAACUACUAAUAAAAUUUAUCAGAAAAUGCUAACUUGAUUAAUAAAGUUAAACAUACCAUAAAUUUGGAGUGCCCAAAAUAUAUUUAUCCCUUUUUGGUCAACAUGAUCGAACAAUAUGUAAAUGAGGAUCCUAUUGCCAUACAUUGAUCGUCGACCUUAAACCUCGCUCAUUGGCCGAUGAGCUUCGUUAACGUUUUGCUAGAAUGAAAUAUUCUACAAAUUUUUUUCAUUUGAUAAAAACUAACUUAUAAAUAAUCCCUAUAAUUAAUAAUAAUAACUUUGCUGUUGGUGGUGGAGACGGGCUGCUGCUGGUGGCUCUUCCAGUUCCCUCCUCCAAACCUUUCUCUUGGUCUUCCAUCGCCUCCAAACCCUUCCGUUAGACACCACCAACAUCACUACAACCGACAUCACCAUCGGUACCACCACCACCACACCCCCCAAGAUUUUACCCCCAAAGCAGAUCGACCGUUGGAGUAUAUUUUUUUCCUUCCAAACGCGGCCGUCGGAGUAAAUUUUUCUCUCGUUUUUGUUGUCGGAGCCAGGUAUUUUUGAGGUUAUUUCUGUGAUGGAGGGAGAAAUGGUGAGAUGUGAUUUUUGUGAUAAGGAGAGAGAAGUGGUGAGAUGUGGGUUUAAUAAAUUUUAAUUAAAUAAUUAAUCCUUGAUUUGUGAAAAGAAAAGUUUAAGAUUUCAUAAGUGAAAUGUAUACUUAAAAUGUAGGUUUUUGCGUAAUUUUCCCAAGAAAAGGGCAAUAGUGGGCUAAAGCCCACCCCUAAAUCCAUCCACGGAUGUGACGUUUCUACAGUAAUCACUCUACCAAGUUAACUUUUUUGAGUCUACUACUUACAUAUCA
rnacentral:lncRNA from 1 species